rnacentral:misc_RNA from 1 species
GCUGGCCUCACGAGGCACUGUGCACGCUCCGCUCAAUCCACUCUACACUUGUGAACUAACUGUGGGUCUUUCCGGGAGGUUGGUGCUGUUGCGCAAGCUUUUCUGGGGGGCUCAUGUUUACUUUAACAAACACUUAUAAAGUAAUGGAAUGUGUAUUGCGAUGUAACGCAUCUAUAU